UCUUUCUUUCAGCACCUUUAUACUUGUGAUACUAAUGUUGACCCAUCUCGUAUUAUUUCCAUUGUGAGACCUCUCGUCACUGAUGAUAUGAAUGCGGAGCUAUGUAAACCGUUUUCUGAGGAGGAGAUUAGUGAUGCUCUCUUCCAGAUAGGUCCGUUAAAAGCCCCAGGUCCGGAUGGUUUUCCUGCAAGAUUUUUUCAGAGUAUUUGGGGUUUAAUAAAGGACAUUGUAAGGGCGGUUCAGCAGUUCUUUAUCUCAGGUGUUAUGCCCGAAGGUGUAAAUGAUACUACCAUUGUCCUUAUUCCCAAAGUGAAGAAUCCUCAGUCCAUCAAGGAGUUUGGACCGAUCAUCUUGUGUAAUGUCAUUUAUAAAAUUAUCUCCAAGUGCCUGGUAAAUAGACUAAGACCUCUUUUGGAGGGUAUGAUCUCUCCCACUCAGAGUGCCUUUAUUCCUGGAAGAUUAAUUUCUGAUAACGCGCUUAUUGCCUUCGAAUGUAUUCAUUCGUUGAGUACAUUAAAAGAUAAGCGUGGAGAUUUUUGUGCAUAUAAGUUGGAUCUAGCAAAAGCGUAUGAUCGUGUAGAUUGGCAAUUUUUAAAGAGUAUGCUGGGGGCUUUUGGGUUUGCUCCAUCUUGGAUUAACUGGAUCAUGACGUGUGUUACAUCAGUGAAAUUCUCGGUCCGGUUUAAUGGACAACUGUUGGAACCUUUUUAUCCUUCGUGUGGGCUCAGGCAAGGGGAUCCCUUAUUGUCGUAUUUGUUCCUAUUUGUUGCUGAGGCACUUUCCUUGCUGUUAAAGAAUGCUUGUGACAAAGCUGCUCUGAAGGAAUUUCACUUGAACAGACAUGGGCCAGGUAUCUCUCAUCUUUUAUUUGCGGAUGAUAGUCUCUUGUCUUUCAAAGGGUCCAUAGAUCAAGCCUUAGUCAUUAAAAAUAUUUUGUCGUGCUAUGAGGUGGGAACGGGUCAGCUUCUGAGCCCCGAUAAAUGUUUCAUCAAGUUUGGCAAAAAGUGUAGUAUGGAGGAUCAGGUGGCCACUAUGGUUAUUCUUAAUAUUACUGCAGAAGGUUUUGAAGAUAAGUACCUUGGCUUACUGGUACCUGAGGGUAGAAUGAAGGUGGGCAAGUUCCAAUCAACAAAAGAUAAGGCAUUAAAAGAAAAAUAUGUCUCAAGUGGUAUAAAAGAAAAUCAAAUCAAGGCAGUGUUGCAAGCGCUACCAGUGUACGCCAUGGGUUAUCUUUAA
rnacentral:rRNA from 1 species